rnacentral:rRNA from 1 species
AAUAGAUACCCAGGUAGUCCACGCCGUAAACGAUGGAUGCUAGCUAUUGGGGGGAAUCGACCCCCUCCGAAGCGAAGCUAACGCGUUAAGCAUCCCGCCUGAGUAGUACGAGCGCAAGCUUAAAACUCAAAGGAAUUGACGGGGACCCGCACAAGCGGUGGAGCGUGUGGUUUAAUUCGAUGGUAAACGAAGAACCUUACCAAGGUUUGACAUCCCGGUAGCCGUUCCCCGAAAGGAGAAUUUCAUUUAGUUGGACCGGUGACAGGUGAUGCAUGGCCGUCGUCAGCUCGUGUCGUGAGAUGUUGGGUUAAGUCCCGCAACGAGCGCAACCCUUAUGAUUUAGUUGGAUUUUUCUAAACAGACUGCCCUGGUAACAGGGAGGAAGGAGGGGAUGAUGUCAGGUCAGUAUUUCCCUUACACCUUGGGGCGACACACGCGCUACAAUGGCCGGUACAAUGGGCAGCUAAGCCGCGAGGUGGAGCAAAUCCCAUCAAAGCCGGUCCCAGUUCGGAUUGCAGGCUGAAACCCGCCUGCAUGAAGCCGGAAUCGCUAGUAACC